rnacentral:rRNA from 1 species
UACGUAGGGUGCGAGCGUUCUCCGGAAUUAUUGGGCGUAAAGGGCUCGUAGGCGGUUUGUCGCGUCGGGAGUGAAAAUCCAGGGCUUAACUCUGGACUGGCUUCCGAUACGGGCAGACUAGAGGUAUGCAGGGGAGAACGGAAUUCCUGGUGUAGCGGUGAAAUGCGCAGAUAUCAGGAGGAACACCGGUGGCGAAGGCGGUUCUCUGGGCAUUACCUGACGCUGAGGAGCGAAAGUGUGGGGAGCGAACAGG